rnacentral:rRNA from 1 species
UACGUAGGUGGCGAGCGUUGUCCGGAUUUACUGGGCGUAAAGGGAGCGUAGGCGGACUUUUAAGUGAGAUGUGAAAUACUCGGGCUCAACUUGAGUGCUGCAUUUCAAACUGGAAGUCUAGAGUGCAGGAGAGGAGAAUGGAAUUCCUAGUGUAGCGGUGAACUGCGUAGAGAUUAGGAAGAACACCAGUGGCGAAGGCGAUUCUCUGGACUGUAACUGACGCUGAGGCUCGAAAGCGUGGGGAGCAAACAGG